AUGUUCCAUCAGACAACUUGGAACCCAGAGAACAGGGAUUAUGCUGUGUUCAGCCCACCUAUUGUCACUGCAUGCUGCAGCCAAGAUGAGAAGGAAUCGGUCCCAUGGAAGGAAUUUCAUGUCUCUCUAGCAGUUCGGCAAGACAAGCUUGAGAAGGAAGCCACAUCAAAACGGGAGGCUCCUGCCACCAUGAGACCAGAUACAGGACUCUGCUCCAACAAGCUGCGACACGGGUGGACCUGGGAAUACGUAGCUGGCUUCCCUGCCAGAUGCAUUUACAUCCGGAUUUGUUUUGCCUUCCUCUUACGGCUGCCCCCCAGGGAGCCACGCCUGGCACAGGUACGCACAUAGUCAGGUUAAGAUCCAAAGCGCUCAGCCCCCAACAUCCUCCCACAGUGCAGACGGCACCAGUCCUCAGGGGAAGCAGGCCAAGGCUGCCAGGGGCAAGUGUGCUGUGGGAGGCUGUCAGCUCCAUCCUGACAGGCUCUGGCCUCUCCAAUCAUAUAGUUCAUGAACAUGUAUCGGACACUUCUUGUUUGCCAGACACUGG
rnacentral:lncRNA from 1 species